rnacentral:rRNA from 1 species
CUACGGGAGGCAGCAGUGGGGAAUCUUGGACAAUGGGCGCAAGCCUGAUCCAGCAACGCCGCGUGGGGGAUGACGGCCUUCGGGUUGUAAACCUCUUUCACCUAUGACGAAGUUCUCAUCUUUUGGUGGGGGUGACGGUAGUGGGAGAAGAAGCACCGGCCAACUACGUGCCAGCAGCCGCGGUAAUACGUAGGGUGCGAGCGUUGUCCGGAAUUAUUGGGCGUAAAGGGCUCGUAGGCGGUUUGUCGCGUCGGGAGUGAAAUCCGCCAGCUUAACUGGUGGCUUGCUUUCGAUACGGGCAGACUAGAGGGAUGCAGGGGAGAACGGAAUUCCUGGUGUAGCGGUGAAAUGCGCAGAUAUCAGGAGGAACACCGGUGGCGAAGGCGGUUCUCUGGGCAUGUCCUGACGCUGAGGAGCGAAAGUGUGGGGAGCGAACAGGAUUAGAUACCCUAGUAGUCC